CCUGAAAUGAAUUUCAUGUCAAGUUCUUUUAUCAUUGUUUUAACCCGAUUUGAUGACAGCAAAGGAAAUUCUAGGAUUGAUGAUUCAGACAAAUGCAAUGGUCAUUCUUCUAACUUGAUAUAUAUUCAGGGCAGCUAGCAAAGGUCCCAAUUUUGGCUUUCUAAGUCAAAGGAACUGAUGCUGAAAAGACCAACUCUAGCGGGGCUUUCAUAGAAAAUGGUGCACACUACAAGAAAACUAACAAUUCUCAUCGCAAAAUCCAGCAGCAGAAGCAAGAAGAUUUCGACCGAAACCUCAGGAACGAAUUCAGGUCAGAGGAGUUCAAGUUCAUUUUAUAACUAGACUGAUCAGACAAACAUCAGCCAUAGAAUAGCUAUGAGAAGCUGUACAUGGAGGAGGCAAUGCAGAAAUUUGAUGAGCAACUAAUAGAUGUCAAAGUAGAGGAACUUACAGAAGCGAUGACAACUUCUAAUCCACAAACGAAGAAGCCAAUCAAGCUAAGUAAAAUAUCAGCUGAGCAAAAUUUGAAUGUAUUUCUUUUGUAGACAAUGAUAAUAGUCCCUUUUUAUAUGAAUAUAAUCCCUUUUAUGAAAGAAAUUCAGAUUCAA